GAUGAAGAACGCAGCAAAAUGCGAUAAGUAAUGUGAAUUGCAGAAUUCAGUGAAUCAUCGAUCUUUGAACGCACAUUGCGCCCGCCAGUAUUCUGGCGGGCAUGCCUGUUCGAGCGUCAUUUCAACUAUCAAGCCCCAGGCUUGUAUUGGAGCCCUGCGGCUGCCGCAGCCUCCCAAAAUCAGUGGCGGGCUCGCUAUCACACCGAGUGCAGUAGUUUACUCUUCGCUUAGGUUCGUAUAGCGGGUGCUAGCCGUGAAACCCCCCACUUCUCAAGGUUGACCUCGGAUCAGGUAGGAAUACCCGCUGAACUUAAGCAUAUCAAUAAGCGGAGGA
rnacentral:misc_RNA from 1 species